CAGGUGGCCCUGACCUGUACUCAGAUUUGGUGGACAACAGAAGUGGGCAUGGCAUUUGCCAGGCUGGAGGAAGGCUAUGAGAGUGCCAUGAAGGACUAUAAUAAGAAGCAAGUGGCCCAGCUCAAAACCCUCAUCACCAUGCUGAUUGGCCAGCUCUCCAAGGGAGACCGGCAGAAGAUUAUGACCAUAUGCACCAUCGAUGUGCAUGCCCGGGAUGUGGUAGCCAAGAUGAUUGCUCAGAAGGUAGACAAUGCCCAGGCUUUCCUCUGGCUGUCUCAGCUGCGCCAUCGUUGGGAUGAUGAGGUCAAACACUGCUUUGCCAACAUCUGUGAUGCCCAGUUUUUGUAUUCCUAUGAGUACCUGGGAAACACACCUCGCCUGGUGAUCACACCUUUGACUGACAGGUGAGCACUGGUGUCAACCACUGACAGCCUUACUGCUGUCUGCUUCGGGCCAGCUAGUGGGCAUCUAGGGUCAAAGUCCCUGUCACUUGCUAUUUGUCCAUAGAGCUACAGGGAAAGGGCCUGACUCAACAGAGCCAGUUUAAAGUGAAACUGAAAGGAUGUAGGGCAGAGCCUUUCUUGGAACAAAUCCCAGAGCAAAUCAAUGAGCCGUGACUUUUUGAGGAAUUACUAAGUGGUCAUACACACCCAAGUUCUAACACCAGCCCUAACACGUACCAGCUGUUUGAUUAUGAAAAAAAUUGACCUAA
rnacentral:sRNA from 1 species